UAGGGAAUCUUCCGCAAUGGACGAAAGUCUGACGGAGCAACGCCGCGUGAGUGAUGAAGGUUUUCGGAUCGUAAAACUCUGUUGUUAGGGAAGAACAAGUACCGGAGUAACUGCCGGCACCUUGACGGUACCUAACCAGAAAGCCACGGCUAACUACGUGCCAGCAGCCGCGGUAAUACGUAGGUGGCAAGCGUUGUCCGGAAUUAUUGGGCGUAAAGCGCGCGCAGGUGGUUCCUUAAGUCUGAUGUGAAAGCCCACGGCUCAACCGUGGAGGGUCAUUGGAAACUGGGGAACUUGAGUGCAGAAGAGGAAAGUGGAAUUCCAAGUGUAGCGGUGAAAUGCGUAGAGAUUUGGAGGAACACCAGUGGCGAAGGCGAGUUUCUGGUCUGUAACUGACACUGAGGCGCGAAAGCGUGGGGAGCGAACAGG
rnacentral:rRNA from 1 species